rnacentral:rRNA from 1 species
GUGAGGAAUAUUGGUCAAUGGGCGGGAGCCUGAACCAGCCAAGUCGCGUGAAGGAAGAAGGAUCUAUGGUUCGUAAACUUCUUUUGCAGGGGAAUAAAGUGCAGGACGUGUCCUGUUUUGUAUGUACCCUGAGAAUAAGGAUCGGCUAACUCCGUGCCAGCAGCCGCGGUAAUACGGAGGAUCCGAGCGUUAUCCGGAUUUAUUGGGUUUAAAGGGUGCGUAGGUGGUUAGAUAAGUCAGCGGUGAAAGUUUGCAGCUUAACUGUAAAAAUGCCGUUGAAACUGUCGGACUUGAGUGUAAAUGAGGUAGGCGGAAUGCGUGGUGUAGCGGUGAAAUGCAUAGAUAUCACGCAGAACUCCGAUUGCGAAGGCAGCUUACUAAGCUACAACUGACACUGAAGCACGAAAGCGUGGGGAUCAAACAGGAUUAGAUACCCGAGUAGUCC